CCCUUAGAUGUCCUGGGCCGCACGCGCGCUACACUGAUGCAUGCAACGAGUUUAUAACCUUGGCCUGAAAGGUCUGGGUAAUCUUUUGAACGUGCAUCGUGAUAGGGAUAGAUUAUUGCAAUUGUUAAUCUUGAACGAGGAAUUCCUAGUAAACGCGAGUCAUCAGCUCGCAUUGAUUACGUCCCUGCCCUUUGUACACACCGCCCGUCGCACCUACCGAUUGAGUGAUCCGGUGAAUAAUUCGGACUGCAGCAGUGUUCAGUUCCUGAACGUUGCAGCGGAAAGUUUAGUGAACCUUAUCACUUAGAGGAAGGAGAAGUCGUAACA
rnacentral:rRNA from 1 species